ACGUAGGGGGCGAGCGUUGUCCGGAAUCACUGGGUGUAAAGGGUGCUCAGGCGGGUCGAUAAGUCAGAGGUGAAAUUUCACAGCUUAACUGUGAAUGUGCUUUUGAUACUGUCGGUCUAGAGUUCAGAAGAGGGCAAUGGAAUUCUUGGUGUAGCGGUAAAAUGCAUAGAUAUCAAGAAGAACACCAGUUGCGAAGGCGGUUGCCUGGUCUGUAACUGACGCUCAAGCACGAAAGCGUGGGGAUCAAACAG
rnacentral:rRNA from 1 species